rnacentral:rRNA from 1 species
UACGGGGGGAGCAAGCGUUGUUCGGAUUUACUGGGCGUAAAGGGCGCGUAGGCGGCCACCGCAAGUCGACUGUGAAAUCUCAGGGCUCAACCCUGAAACUGCAUUCGAUACUGCGCGGCUAGAGUGCUGGAGGGGAGACUGGAAUUUACGGUGUAGCAGUGAAAUGCGUAGAUAUCGUAAGGAAGACCAGUGGCGAAGGCGAGUCUCUGGACAGCAACUGACGCUGAGGCACGAAGGCCAGGGGAGCAAACGGG